rnacentral:rRNA from 1 species
AAAAGAUUUUAUCGGUGUGAGAUGGACCCGCGUCUGAUUAGCCAGUUGGCAGGGUAACGGCCUACCAAAGCGACGAUCAGUAGCCGGCCUGAGAGGGUGAACGGCCACAUUGGGACUGAGACACGGCCCAGACUCCUGCGGGAGGCAGCAGUGGGGAAUAUUGCACAAUGGGGGAAACCCUGAUGCAGCGACGCCGCGUGAGUGAAGAAGUAUUUCGGUAUGUAAAGCUCUAUCAGCAGGGAAGAAAAUGACGGUACCUGACUAAGAAGCCCCGGCUAACUACGUGCCAGCAGCCGCGGUAAUACGUAGGGGGCAAGCGUUAUCCGGAUUUACUGGGUGUAAAGGGAGCGUAGACGGUGAUGCAAGUCAGAAGUGAAAGCCCGGGGCUCAACUCCGGGACUGCUUUUGAAACUGUGUGACUGGAGUGCAGGAGAGGUAAGCGGAAUUCCUGGUGUAGCGGUGAAAUGCGUAGAUAUCAGGAGGAACACCAGUGGCGAAGGCGGCUUACUGGACUGUAACUGACGUUGAGGCUCGAAAGCGUGGGGAGCAAACAGGAUUAGAUACCCUGGUAGUCCACGCCGUAAACG